UACGUAGGGGGCAAGCGUUGUCCGGAAUCAUUGGGCGUAAAGAGCGUGUAGGCGGCUCGGUAAGUCCGCUGUGAAAGUCCAGGGCUCAACCCUGGAAUGCCGGUGGAAACUGUCGAGCUAGAGUCCGGAAGAGGCGAGUGGAAUUCCUGGUGUAGCGGUGAAAAUGCGCAGAUAUCAGGAGGAACACCGAUGGCGAAGGCAGGUCUCUGGGCAUUAACUGACGCUGAGGAGCGAAAGCAUGGGGAGCGAACAGG
rnacentral:rRNA from 1 species